CCUACGGGUGGCAGCAGUGAGGAAUAUUGGUCAAUGGGCGCGAGCCUGAACCAGCCAAGUCGCGUGAGGGAAGACGGUCCUAUGGAUUGUAAACCUCUUUUGUCGGGGAGCAAAAGACGCCACGCGUGGCGUUCCGAGAGUACCCGAAGAAAAAGCAUCGGCUAACUCCGUGCCAGCAGCCGCGGUAAUACGGAGGAUGCGAGCGUUAUCCGGAUUUAUUGGGUUUAAAGGGUGCGCAGGGGGAAGAUCAAGUCAGUGGUAAAAUUUAGGGGGUCAACCGCUUCGAGCCGUUGAAACUGGUUGUCUUGAGUGAGCGAGAAGUAUGCGGAAUGCGUGGUGUAGCGGUGAAAUGCAUAGAUAUCACGCAGAACUCCGAUUGCGAAGGCAGCAUACCGGCGCUCAACUGACGCUCAUGCACGAAAGUGUGGGUAUCGAACAGGAUUAGAUACCCCAGUAGUC
rnacentral:rRNA from 1 species